UUCCGACAGCUUGCUGCCCUAGACCAGAGUUGGUGGCUGGACCUCCUGCGACUUCCGAGUUGCGAUGCUGUACUUCUCUUUGUUCUGGGCGGCUCGGCCUCUGCAGAGAUGUGGGCAGCUGGUCAGGAUGGCCAUUCGGGCUCAGCACAGCAACGCAGCCCAGACUCAGACUGGGGAAGCAAACAGGGGCUGGACAGGCCAGGAGAGCCUGUCGGACAGUGAUCCUGAGAUGUGGGAGUUGCUACAGAGGGAGAAGGACAGGCAGUGUCGUGGCCUGGAGCUCAUUGCCUCAGAGAACUUCUGCAGCCGAGCUGCGCUGGAGGCCCUGGGGUCCUGUCUGAACAACAAGUACUCGGAGGGUUAUCCUGGCAAGAGGUGAGGGCUGGAGGGCAGUGUCAGGGAUGGUGCUCCCAGUGGGGGAACCCACCUGUACCUUCCCAGUGUUCAUUGAGGAGUGAACUUCCCAGUCCUUUGCUGAUGGUUGAGAGUCCUUUCUCUGUACCCUCAUUACCCCUCUCCCACGGCAGAUACUAUGGGGGAGCAGAGGUGGUGGAUGAAAUUGAGCUGCUGUGCCAGCGCCGGGC
rnacentral:sRNA from 1 species